rnacentral:rRNA from 2 species
GAUGAACGCUGGCGGCGUGCCUAACACAUGCAAGUCGAACGGAGAUUAUUCGCUGCGGAGCCUUCGGGCGAAGCUUGAAUGAUCUUAGUGGCGGACGGGUGAGUAACGCGUGGGCAACCUGCCUUGCACAGGGGGAUAGCAGUUGGAAACGACUGGUAAUACCGCAUAUCUUAGAGAGACCGCAUGAUCUUUUUAAGAAAACGUUAGUGGUGCAAGAUGGGCCCGCGUCCGAUUAGAUAGUUGGUGGGGUAACGGCCUACCAAGUCGACGAUCGGUAGCCGACCUAAGAGGGCGGACGGCCACAUUGGGACUGAGACACGGCCCAGACUCCUACGGGAGGCAGCAGUGGGGAAUAUUGCACAAUGGAGGGAACUCUGAUGCAGCGACGCCGCGUGAGUGAAGAAGUAUUUCGGUAUGUAAAGCUCUAUCAGUAGGGAAGAUAAUGACGGUACCUACAUAAGAAGCCCCGGCUAAAUACGUGCCAGCAGCCGCGGUAAUACGUAUGGGGCAAGCGUUAUCCGGAUUUACUGGGUGUAAAGGGAGCGUAGGCGGCAGUACAAGUCGGGAGUGAAAACUCGGGGCUCAACCCCGAGACUGCUCUCGAAACUGUACAGCUAGAGUGCAGGAAGGGCAGGCGGAAUUCCUGGUGUAGCGGUGAAAUGCGUAGAUAUCAGGAGGAACACCGGUGGCGAAGGCGGCCUGCUGGACUGUAACUGACGCUGAGGCUCGAAAGCGUGGGGGAGCGAACAGG